AGGAUUAUAGUUUAAUUUAAAACCUUUGAUUUGCAAUCAAAAAAUAUUAUACAAAAAAUAAUUUAUCUUA
rnacentral:tRNA from 1 species